GUUCUUUCUGUAUGACUCAGCAAGUUCUACACUUACUUAGUGCCUCUUAGUGCUUUUGUAUCCCAAGUAAAUUCUUUUUAAAAGCCUUGCACUUGUGUUUGCUCUGAAAUCCACAUGGACAUACAGAACUCUGCAACAAGAUGAACCAAUUCAGAACUCCAGCAGCCCUCAUUCUUUCCAGGAAUGCACAGACAACUGGAAAUGAUUCAAACAAGGAUUUGACCUCUUUCUGAAAGCAAGUGGAGCUGUUUAGAAGGAGGAUGAGCAAAGACUACAUCUCCCCGAAAGUAGUGCUUGCUCUCUUGGUGAAGGAGCUACUGUGCCUAAGAACACAUCACAAGAAAGAUCAUGAAGAGCUCAAAAGUAAGAUGGUUACAAUGAACAUGGGCAGGAAAAGUGAAGGAUACUUACCAUAUACUUACUCAGGAACCGAACUUCUCAGGCUUGUAGACUGAAGAACUGGGCCAAUUUGAGGUAGGUUCCAGACUUUGCCCAGACUAACAAAAGAAAGGUGGGGAGAGGGAAAUGCGGAAAAACUCUUCCAUUGGAAAAUAUGAGGAAUGAUGCAUCGUAGAGAUACACAAUGUGGCCAAGGCAUAAAGUGGAUUAAGCAAUACAAUGACUUGCACGAAUGUGGAAGAUGACUUUUCAGCAAUGUAUUAGUGAGAUGACAGAAGAAGAAAAGCCGUAGUGGGUCUUGCUUCUCAGCAAUGCUUUCCACGUCAAGAUUAAAAGGCUUGAAACAGAUUUAGCAGUUGACUUGCUGCUAAGAAUGGCAGUGUCCCUUGAAGCAUCUUUGCUUUAACACCAAGCAAAGUGUAUGGCUCUCUGAGAUCCUAUACAGCACUCAAAAUGUUGCAAAACAGAAGUACCUUCUCCAAGUCCAACUUGAUGUUCCAGAAGUCAGCUCUAUAUGCAUGCAAAAUCUGUGAACAACACUUUGGUGGUGGGGAAAGACCCACUCAACUUUAACAGCUCUUCUGUUAUUUCUUUCAUUAGUUUUCUUCAAACAUGUCAAAUAUCUGAAGCUUGUCAUUUCCACACAUUAGUUUGAGCUUUUGUUUGGUGUCAAACGGAAAUGUGCUUCAGUGUUUCAUUGCUGUUCUUUUUCUUGACAAAAGAAUAAACGAUCCCUUCUCGACCUCCAUUUCUGACCACAUUCUUGCAAUAAUUGUCCUUGAGCUGAGGGCAGAGUUGCCAACUACGGACUUCUAUAGAGGAUAUGCAACUAUUUGGCGCAUCGAACAACUUUUUUUGCAUUAGGAGGAAUAGAGACUAUUUUGGGGACCAAAUGUUUUUUGCAUGUGUUGUGGUGUCCGAAGUUCUGGGACACCACAACACAUUUUGUUUGCUCAGAACACUUUGCUCUCAUGAGCAGCUUCUUUUCCUCCAUCUCCUUCCCCUUCCUACGGACCUACGGAAAGCCAGAGUGGAGGUUCUGCUUCAUUAUCAGGUUGCAGCUCCACAUGAUGCAGGAGCAUGGAUAGGUGGACCUGGCAGGUACAGCUUGCUUCUUUCAUGUGGUGGCAGUGGUGUGGCAGUGAGACGUUAGCAGUUAGCUGACUAACUUUAGCAGCUACCCCUGCUAACUGUGUAAAAAGGCACCUUUCAAAGUGUUGGAUUUUGUCUAUUUAUCAUGGGGGGAGCAACCAACCCCAGCACAGCAUUCCUUCAGUGGCUGGUGCUGGUGUUACCUGGUGUUUCUUUUUAGAUUGUGAGCCCUUUGGGGACAGGGGAGUAGCUUAUUAUUUAUUUUUCUUUGAAAACCCCCUGUGGAACCUUCUGUUGAAAAACUGUAUAUAAACGUUUAUAGUUGUAGACAACAGGAAGCGAGUGGGAGACCAUGCAUGGACCAUUGAGCCAGCAUGCAAGGAGGAUGGCCCCUUUUAUAGGGACUUCUGUUUAGAAUUAAUAUCUCCACUGCUGGCUCCUUUUCCAGGAAAUUCGCCUAGUCAACAAGUGGCUUUCCUGCUUGAGGACAGUAUUCCUGCCAUCACUCGAAAAAUGGCGGGCUUUUGUGCGGCAGCUCGAAGAUUGCGUCAGUUUUUAAUUAAUAAUUCUAGUGCUGCUCUAUAACCUUUAAGAUAUAAUAUUGUUGGUGGGUUAGACUGUUGAUUUGUUAUCUUUUUAACCAUUAAUUUAUAUUUUAAUUGUAUUUUCCCCCUUGUUGUGCUGGUCAUAGACUGUAAUAAACUUUGAUUGAUUGAUUGAU